CUCUAAGUGGGUGGUAAACUCCAUCUAAGGCUAAAUAUAACCACGAGACCGAUAGCGAACAAGUACCGCGAGGGAAAGUUGAAAAGAACUUUGAAGAGAGAGUUCAAGAGUACGUGAAACCGUUCAGGGGUAAACCUGAGAAACCCAAAAGAUCGAAAGGCGAGAUUCAUCGUCAGCGUAUUUCAUAUAUGUGCAAAUUGGUGAUGCAAUGUAUUCUCUUUAUGGGAUUAAUUUUUGUACACUUUUGUAUCAUUUAAUUGCUGAAUAUCGUCGGCGUGCACUUCUCGUCUAGUAGAACGUUGCGACCCGUUGGGUGUUGAUCUACGACCCAGUUGGUAGCCUUUAAUGUCAUCUUAUAGGUGUUACAUUGAAGACCAUUGGUGUUUUCCGAUUGACUGCCCGGCGGUAUGACAAUAUGGUAUUGAGUCGCUUUUGAAUGCGUCAAAUCUAUAUAGAAAUUCUAAUCACUGUUUAAGUAAUUUACGGACCUAGUGCCGUUGCUUUACAAUGUUAGAUUUGUUGUAGAAUUAUUUGACUGGCUCAUUGAAUAUAUAUAAUAUCGGUCAGCAAUGCUACUGCUUUGGGUACUUUCAGGA
rnacentral:rRNA from 1 species